rnacentral:rRNA from 1 species
UACGUAGGGUGCGAGCGUUGCCCGGAUUUAUUGGGCGUAAAGGGCGCGCAGGCGGCUCGGCACGUCCGUUGUGAAAUCGCCCGGCUCAACUGGGCGGGGUCAGCGGAUACGGUCGAGCUUGAGCAAGCUAGGGGGUAAUGGAAUUCCCGGUGUAGUGGUGGAAUGCGUAGAUAUCGGGAGGAACACCAGUGGCGAAGGCGAGUCCCUGGACGAUACCUGACACUGAGGCACGAAAGCUAGGGGAGCAAACAGG